AGGGCGAUGAGAUGAUGAAUUUCGAAUUUAGCUAUCAAUUGCACGAGGCUACUAUUGAAUAGCUGUAUGUUUUCUAUGGUAAUGAUGUGGUGUGUUUGGAUGGUCUGGAGCUUCACUGGCAACCGCACAACUACAUUUACCAAAGGGAUUCAUGCAUAUCUAUUAGAAGAAUGCUUCUGCACUUGUCUUAUUUUGUGACUUCCACAAUCAUCUGAGCCCUCUUGUUGUUUGUGUAUUGGUCCCUAAUUCUUCUUUCCUUUUUUGAAAUGUAGUCCUUUUGGAUUAUGGGUAUUGCACAAUUUGCAAUAUCAUACGUAAAGCUUCUCUGCUUUUCUUAUUUCAUGGAUUCCACAAUCGGAUUUUUUUUCUAAUUCUUGUUUUUUUUUUCCUUGUUCUCAUCUCCUUUUGGGAUUGCCUCUCCUUCGGCCAUGAUUUGGUUGGAGGAAUUAAGCACAAAAGAAAUAUUAUUUACCUAUUUGUCAGUAUAAGAUGUGUGAGGAUAAGAACUACUAUUCUUGUAAAAGGGAUAAUAGUUGAAUUGUCUCUCUUCAUUAGAGCUGCUGCUCUUCUAAAAUAGAUAAUACUCUAUCACGUAUGUAAGCAUGAGGGCCUCUGUCUUCAUUAUAAUUGUUAUGGAUGUAGGUGAGAUCUUGGAAUCUUUCUUGAUGAGAGGGAAUAAAGGAAAUUGCAUUAAGAGGCUAAAUCUAAAUGAGUGAACUGCAGAAUGGCCUGGAACUUCAAGGAACCACAACUGUGAUCAAUAGGGGGAUUCAUGUACUGUGAUCUGAAGAACAUUAAUGUACUUUUCUUUGUUUGUGGAUACCGUUGUCAAUUGAGCAACCUGUUAUUUGUCUCUAAUUUUAUUUCUUAAUCACCUUCUUUUCUUUUGCAUUAUUGUCUUUUUGGUUUUGGUGCUAUACAAUGUGCAGUGUGGUAGGUAUUACUGCCUUUGAAAUUAUAAGGCUGUGUCAGAUUUAUAUUUGUAGUUGAUGGGCUUGUUGUGGAAGAAGCAUGGCUCUUUGGGUUGUUGCACCAAGUUCUUCUGUUGUGGCUGUUUUCAAAUAUAAGUGAUCAGUGGCUAUAUUUAUAACGGUGUCUAUGUAGCUACUGUUUGCCAGCUAUCAGUGGAUCUUCCAUGGUUGAGCUUUCCUUAUCCUUAGUUUGAUUUAUUUCUUGAACUUGAAAUUUUUGUACUCGAUAAUUGCUUUAGAAAACCGUAAGAAAGCUUUGUCAAAUGAAAACUUAAUAUGUCUUUUUUACAAUAUAGUUAUGAUUGAGGAAGAAAACACACCAAUGAUGAACUGCGUCACCAUCUUUGUAGCUGUAUGAUUUCAAGAUUUUUGGGCAUUUAUGCCAAGGUAUGAUUGUUUUGCAACAUUUUUGUGCACACUUUCCUUCUGACUACCAUUGCAGACAUUAAAUGGAUGUACGGGAUAUGAGUGCAUUUGAAUCUGGUUCUUUUAAUGUUGUUAUUGAUAAAGGAACACUGGGCUCUCUCAUGUUGGGUGGGAAAAAACUAGGCAGUUUUUAU